rnacentral:tRNA from 1 species
GCUCAGUCAGUAGAGUGUCAGACUUUUAAUCUGAGGAUUGUGGGUUCAUAACCCUC